CUAUAAUACAGUUAGUUAGUCUCCUCGAGGUCUGGUACAGUAGUAAUGUGAGAAAAUUAAACAGGUUCAGUUUCAUAUACUCAUAACCUGAAAUCACUCCAUUUGCACUGCAGUACUUUUUGAUGAUGCACUGUUUUUGCUUCCUUUUCUUUGCCUUUCGACUAUUUUGAUUCCUGUUGACUAAAAGAUAAAAAGAGGAAGUGGGUAAAGACGUCUGCAGUAAUUCUAACACAGUAGAGCAACAGGAUUAUCAGUUCUCCACAGCACAACAACAAAGAAAGUUUAGGAGCAGUCACAGAAAAGGCUUCUUCACUCCUCUCUUCACUAAUCUGGACCUUGGGAAAGCGAGGAGCAUUUGGUCCACAGACCUCAUUGAUCUUGCAGGACCAGUUCAAAAGAUAAAAUGAGAUUCAUUGUCUUGAUCACCAUCAUUGUCACUGUAGCCCUUAUUGGUGGAGGCAGCAGUAUGAUUGCAGAGCCUUCAUCACCGUGUCAGGACAAAAGCCCCAAAAGUCAUUAUAAAGAAUUUCUCAGCAGACACAUCCUUCAAGAGGAAUUUGACAGAAAUUCCCUAGAUGCUUGGAAAAGGUAUUUGAAAAAAGAACACCUCUGGUGCAGAACUACAGUGCAAUCGUUCCUCAAUAAAAGUGAUCUGGAGAACGUGAUCAGAAUCUGCAGCAGAGACGGUCGACGCUUAAGCAAGACGGAUAACUAUGCAGGGAACUUGUGCAUCAGCAACUCAGAAAUGCUGAUAUAUGAAGUCAUAUCCACAAAAAGCAACAAGGAUUGUAAAAUUACAGUUGGUGCAAAGAAAAGGGUUGUGAUUGUGGCAUGCAACAAGGUUGGAAACCAAUGUCUCCCUGUUCAUUUUCAGAAAUAUGAACAGCAGAGAGCAAGCAAUAUACCCUGCAGUCCUGCAAGGAAUUUCAGUAUUGUGGUAGAAUAGCUUUCCACAGUCAGACCAAUGAUUCUGUGACAAACUUUGCUUGUUGCUAUACUGAUUAUUAAAAUUUCAUGAUGAGUUAAGAUACAUUUCUAAAUUCAGUGACUUUGGUUGGUGUUAGUGCUAAUUAUGAAUUUAGUUUUCUUUUUGGUCCAUUAUUGAAAUAAUAAUCACACAGAUUUCAAUAACAAAUGCUGAUUCCACAUUUCUAAUAUUUAAUCUAUGAAAGAAACAUCUGAUUGAUGAGCACUUCUAACUAGCUGUCUAAUAUUUGGAUUUUGGAGCUACUUGGUUUGUACUUGUGUUUUUGACUGUAUGACCACUCCCACUUGUAAGAAAAACUGAGGGAUUUUUUUAUUUGUAUCCUCGAAACAGAAUUGUGUAACUUUGAGUUCCCUUUCUUCCUGUUUAUUAAAGAAAGAAGUGUAACAGGAAACGGUAUAUUUGCUGUUAGACGUACGCAUGCAAAUGUUUGUGGUCACUAUGUCCUCAGCCAAUUUAUUUUUAAUUUGUACACUGUUGAUUUUGGUUUGUGAAAAUUGAAACAUAUACAUGAGGUGUAUUUAAGUUUCAGCGUUUGUCAGUUAAAUAAGUUAGCACAACCAGACGAGACCAGGCCUUGGCUCAUAUGUUUUGAGGCUGGGGAUUUGACAUUACUGUGAAUCAGUUUCUGUUUUAAAGGCUGUUUCUUGCUAUAGCUACUCUGACCGUCCUCUGAACUUCCUUUUUUUUUUUUAAAUAAACUUUAGGCACAUAUUCUUCUCUUGGUAAAAUGUUCAUCAGCUCUUCUGACUCUCCAGCUUUUAUUUCAAUUAAAUAUAAAACCCUCAUUACCAUUACAUUACCAGGAACUUCUGAUAUCCUUACAGUUCCACAAAUAAACAUAUCAGAAACUUGUGUAAUCUGGUGUGGUGCAGUGUUGUUUUUUCUGUCCACUAAUGCUCAUUAAAAGCUAUGGUUAUCUUUGAAUGCAAAAAGGAAGGAAAAUGCAGUUAAAAUGUUUGUCGUAUUUUUGC
ensembl:lncRNA